rnacentral:rRNA from 1 species
AGCGAACGCUGGCGGCAUGCUUAACACAUGCAAGUCGCGCGGGUGGUUUCGGCCAUCAGCGGCGGACGGGUGAGUAUCGCGUAGGAAUGUAUCCCGAGGUGGGGGACAACCCUGGGAAACUGGGGCUAAUACCGCAUGGGGCCUGUGGGUCAAAGCCUUAGGGCGCCUUGGGAGCAGCCUGCGUCCGAUUAGGUAGUUGGUGGGGUAAAGGCCUACCAAGCCUGCGAUCGGUAGCUGGUCUGAGAGGACGAUCAGCCACACUGGGACUGAGACACGGCCCAGACCCCCAGGGGAGGGAGCAGGGGGGAAAAAUGAAAAAUGGGGGAAAGCCUGACGCAGGAAGGCCGGGUGGGUGAAGAAGGUUGGGGGAUUGUAAAGCCCUUUGGGGGGGGACAGUGAGAAGGGAACCCAAAAAAAAAGCCCGGCUAAAUUUGGG